AAAGUCGUAACAAGGUUUCCGUAGGUGAACCUGCGGAAGGAUCAUUACCGAGUUAGGGUCCUCUGGGCUCGACCUCCAACCCUUUGUCUACCUUACUUUACGUUGCUUCGGCGGGUCCGUCCUGAAAAGGACCGCCGGAGGGUGGAUUUACCCUCUGGCCCGCGCCCGCCGGUGGCCACCAAUCAAACUCUUGUUAAAAACGUGUCGUCUGAAGUAUUAAACAAAAUAACUAAAAACUUUCAACAACGGAUCUCUUGGUUCUG
rnacentral:misc_RNA from 1 species